rnacentral:tRNA from 1 species
GGAGAGGUGGCAGAGCGGUUGAAUGCACCUGAUUCGAAAUCAGACGUACCUUCACGGGUACCGGGGGUUCGAAUCCCUCCCUCUCCG